AAUGAACAAGGAUAUGCUUAGCUUGACAAAAGGAGCUAUUGGCUUUGAAUUGUAUUGUGGAAAUGUAUUACCAACAGAGGUGCAGGUGCCAGCCUAUUGAAAUAAAGCGUCAAUGAGGGUGAGAAUCCUGUUUGUCAUGUGCAGCCCUUUGUGCACGGUGUAUAUUUGCUGAGUCACACUCCUUGGCAUUGGAAUGCAAAGUGGGUGGUAAGUUUCAUGUAAAGGUAAACAUGCAAUUGAGACUGAUAGCACACAAGUACCAUGAGGGAAAUAUGAAAAGGACUUUGAAAAGAGAAUUAAAUGAGUUUGUAUUUGCUGAACACAAAGUAAACAGACUUGAUUUGCUUGGUGGGAGUGUUGCACUUGCUUGACAAGAGCUUUGGGCUGUGGGUGUAAUGAUUCUUUCUUUGCAUGCCAGUUUCUAUUUGUACAUCUGAUUACCUUUGCACAUGAAUGAUAAGUCUCCUGUGGGGGGUGGAUUGCAUGUGCAUGUAAUGAUUUGUGUUUUGAUAAAUGUGUCUGGUGUAUGUGUGUGUUCCUGUGCUUGGGGAUGCUUCCUUCCUUGGACUUACAAGCCCUGACACACACAUGCUGGCAAAAUGCUUCUGCUUGACCCGUCUUGAAACACGGACCAAGGAGUCUAACAGAUGUGCAAAGUUUGAAGGUGGUAUACCUUUGUGUGCAAUGAAAGUGUCAGCUGGGAUAUGUGCACCAGCACCCAAUUAAUUAGCGGACAGAGGUUUGAGUUGGAGCAUAUCUAUUAGGACCCGAAAGAUGGUGAACUAUGCCUGAACAGAAUGAAUUCAGAGGAAACUCUGAUGGAGGUUCGUAUCGAUACUGACGUGCAAAUCGUUCGUCAUAUUUGGGUAUAGGGGCGAAAGACUAAUCGAACCAUCUAGUAGCUGGUUCCCUCCGAAGUUUCCCUCAGGAUAGCUGGAGUUGCUCAGUUUUAUCAGGUAAAGCGAAUGAUUAGAGGAAUUGGGGACAGGUUUGUCUUUGA
rnacentral:rRNA from 1 species